CAUGAUGGUAGUCACUACUGCUUAUCACUUAUUAACCAUCCUUUAUUCAUAUUGCACAUUACUUAAAUAUUUGUUUAAUUUGAUGACUUUAUUAUUUCAUUCCAAGUCAUCAUAUCAUCUCUAUAGAGCUGCUCCCUAUGCCAUCUGACAAAAUCACAAUUUUAGUAGCUCUUCAAAGUAAAUAAGGCAUACUUCUAUGACUGCUGAAAACCAACUAUCAAUCACUUGGAUCAUGUAUUUCAGGUAGACAUACUUUGCGAAUACAACUGCUUUCUAUCCCUCUUGAUUGCACAUUCUCUGUUCUGUCAAUUUCUGUGGGUCUCAGUGCUCCACACAGACCAGUCAAGUAGGUGGGCACGCAAUGGAUAAUGGUCAUUGUAGUUAAUUACCACUUUUUCUGCUCUAAACUAUGUAGAAUAUUGGCCUGUUGAAAACUACAACUCCGUUAAUUGCUCAGCACUAGUAUCAUAACAUGUCCAGCAAUGUGAUUCAAAUGGUUUAGCAAUCUCCAAAAAUUAUUUUAUUCACUGUUCACAUGCUAUUUUCACAGCUUGUCAAACGUUUAAUAAAAACGGUGUCAUGUGACACAAGUACCCUUCUGACACCUCCUCCGUUGUUGCCAGAGUCUCCCUCGAUUGUUCCCUCGAUUGCUAUGAAAAGAAAAAAAAUAUCGUCAUUGUAGUUAAUUACCACGUUUUCUGCGCUAAACUAUGUAGAAUAUUGGCCUGUUGAAAACUACAACUCUGUCCUGACACCUCCUCCGUUGUUGCCAGAGUUUCCCUCGAUUGCUAUGAAAAGGACACACCAUCAUGAAGGCUCUGAUAGUAACCCAAGUUACUGCCCUGAUGACACAGCUUCAUCAACAACGACAGGUAAUGUGUGUUAUUAGCUUGAUAAACUAGUAAGCUAAUUCCCCAGCCAAACAAAUACAGAUAGUUUUCAUUUUGCUUGUGAAGUGCAUGAGCAAAAAGCUUUGUCAUUUCUUUAGAACAAAAAAUGCAAUUCGCCACUUGGCAGUCAAUUAUAUCACCCUGUCACAGGCUCUCUGUCAACACCACCUCAUAAGAUUGCCUGCUGCAGUUGUUCGAGAGCUCUCUAGUUUGCAGGCAAGAAUGCAGCAUCGAAAAGUCCAGCGAGUGGGCUGUCAUCAGCAUCAUGCAGACAUGACCUCGCUGUGAGCAUUCCUAUGAAUGUUGGCAAGUAUCCGGCCAGCAACAUUCACCUGUCAUCAGCAUCAUGCAGACAUGACCUCGCUGUGAGCAUUCCUAUGAAUGUUGGCAAGUAUCCGGCCAGCAACAUUCACCUGUCAUCAGCAUCAUGCAGACAUGACCUCGCUGUGAGCACAGCAACAUUCACCUGUCAUCAGCAUCAUGCAGACAUGACCUCGCUGUGAGCACAGCAAUAUUCACCUGUCAUCAGCAUCAUGCAGACAUGACCUCGCUGUGAGCACAGCAACAUUCACCUGUCAUCAGCAACAGCUUUCACAGGCUCAUCAUUUGUACAAAUGCAGCAGGUAACCCACUUCAUUACAUUGAUACGUUUGAUAACCCAAUUGUGAAACAUAAUUUAUUGAAACUGACAUUAUUUGUUGCUUAUUUUCUACUUAGAUGCAUAUAAUGUCCAGAGCAUAACCUAGUGGAACCAACUUGAUUGCUGUGUUCACCAUUCUAUUUCACUUUACAUUUUAGGAUAACUGAAGUGAAAUAGAAAGGUGUGUGUGUGUGUGUGUGUGUGACUGAACAGUAUCUUUGAUGAGGGGCCAUGGACUGAUCUACGCUGCCAUGCCCAUCAAUGGGGUGCUGGCAAAGACCUCACCCCAGCCUCACAUCUUGCCUGCUCACCAACGGGCGUCGAUAUGGAGAACAAACUUCAACGUAGUGUAUAUUUGUGUGUCAGAUAUCACCUAUCCCUAACUCACGUAGGUAAUAGAACAGUGAAUGUGUGUGUGUUCACAGAUGCAUGAGAUGCAGAGAGAUCUGGCGCUCAACACAUCCACAAUAAGAUGGACUGGAGAUGCUUUUGCCAGACGGCAGCCUCAGGCGGGAGACCAUCAUUGGAAACAUGUAUGGAGCCAGGACAUGGAGACUUGCAAAAUGAUGUGAUGAAGUCCAGACUGACAGACGGGCUUGAUACUGAUGUCUCUGAAUGAAAAGAGAUUUGGUAUAAAAGUUUUACUAGACACAACUUUGACUUGUAUUGUCUUUUUUUAUUUUUUAUUUAUUGAAUUGAAUGGCACCAGUCAAUAUGGGGAGGUAGAAACCCUGUGUAUUCUGCAACAGGAUCAGGG